GAUGAACGCUGGCGGCGUGCCUAAUACAUGCAAGUCGAGCGAACAGACGAGGAGCUUGCUCCUCUGACGUUAGCGGCGGACGGGUGAGUAACACGUGGAUAACCUACCUAUAAGACUGGGAUAACUUCGGGAAACCGGAGCUAAUACCGGAUAAUAUAUUGAACCGCAUGGUUCAAUAGUGAAAGACGGUUUUGCUGUCACUUAUAGAUGGAUCCGCGCCGCAUUAGCUAGUUGGUAAGGUAACGGCUUACCAAGGCAACGAUGCGUAGCCGACCUGAGAGGGUGAUCGGCCACACUGGAACUGAGACACGGUCCAGACUCCUACGGGAGGCAGCAGUAGGGAAUCUUCCGCAAUGGGCGAAAGCUUGACGGAGCAACGCCGCGUGAGUGAUGAAGGUCUUCGGAUCGUAAAGCUCUGUUAUUAGGGAAGAACAAAUGUGGAAGUAACUAUGCACGUCUUGACGGUACCUAAACAGAAAGCCACGGCUAACUACGUG
rnacentral:rRNA from 1 species